AGCCCUAAACCAAGACAUUUAAUAAACCAAAAUGGUUCGCCAGAGUACUACUAGCAACAGCUUAAAACUCAAAGGACUUGGCGGUGCUUCACAACCCCCCUAGAGGAACCUGUCCUAUAAUCGACAAACCCCGAUAAACCUCACCAUCCCUGGCCAACACAGCCUAUAUACCGCCAUCCCCAGCAAACCUUAAAGAGCACCAUAGUAAGCACAAUUAUUACUCAUAAGCACGUUAGGUCAAGGUGUAGCCCAUGAGGUGGAAAGAGAUGGGUUACAUUUUCUUACAAAAGAAAAAUCAACGAAAGUUUCUAUGAAACCCCAGAAACCGAAGGAGGAUUUAGAAGUAAUUUAAGAAUAGAGAGCUUAACUGAACUGGGCCAUGAAGCACGCCCACCCCAUCAUCCAAUCCACAACCCUCCUCCAUACUAACGAUCAUCAGCAAACAUAUUGCCCACAUCACAGGCACCCCAUAGAGGAGACAAGUCGUAACAAGGUAAGCAUACUGGAAAGUGUGCUUGGAAUAAUCAAAGUGU
rnacentral:rRNA from 1 species